CCCUUCCCGAGAAUAUGGGUUCGCUUCCUUCAAUCCAUCUGGAGUAAUUUGCGAUGACAACAGAUAGCACGGGGGGGGAGCAGGCGUGACCCCACCGCAGGACUCGGGCUCCUGCCUAGCAACAGCAGCCACCGUCGGCUGGUGUCCGCCCCCCACCGCCCGCCUGCAAGAGCCAACGCUGAUGGACUUCGCAUGUGACUCCUGAAACUGAAUUACAGGAGUUGACCCGACCAGAAAUGCCAAGAUCACAAAGUCUCGGGAGUUUAGUUGCUAACAUAAUGCAUCAUUACGCUGCUGAAUCAAACUCCUUGCUUGCUGUUUGCAGCCACAUUAAAUAUAAAUAAGAGAACUAAACAAACCGCUGAAAAAUAGUCUAAUUAAAUUGUGCAGCGAGAUAGGCCCAUGGCUUUUGGUGCUUUUAAUUCCCCAUGAAGAAAAGCAUAUUCGCUUUCCUUCUUUUUCAUGACAUUUGUUCCCAUACAGAAAGGCUAAAAGCAGCUGGCACUGGCUUGUUAUAAUAAAGGACUUUUGAACGCGCCUGUGAAUGCCUUUGCAGGGUUAAGCAAAGCAUCUGCAGGACGAAAACAAGACUCAAAUAAGCAGUGAAUAUGACCAAACUUUGUGUGCCUGCUGAUCUGAAUUCCAAGAUGAGCUUGCUGCUUGGCCUCAUGACCCUUUGCUCGCUGGCCUGAGACAUGAGCAGAGUCAGGGGCACAGCUUGCCAUAGCAUGGCACGGCAUGAUAUCAUACAGCAUGGCACAAUGUGGCACGGCACAGCAUGGCAUGGCAUGACAUGGCACAGCAUGGCAUGACAUGGCAUGGUACGGCACAGCAUGGCAUGAUAGGGUAGGGCACGACCCGCCUUCCACGCCCUGCUAAAGAUAUUGUACUGCUUUAAGCAUGUUAUUUCUUACAGGCUGGAAGAUAAGCUGCUGCCCAAGCACUGUGCUUGCCGAGGGCUUAUUGGGAGUACUUAUAAGUCCUUCCUGCGCAGCAUUCCCUUUGCAAGUUUUACAAGACUUAAAAGGCUGUGUUUAAUGAGUGGCGAGAUUAUUCAAAUGAGCCCACAGCAAAAUGCUGUUUUCUUAGUUCCAAGAUCUUG
rnacentral:lncRNA from 1 species